rnacentral:rRNA from 1 species
AGCUCCAAUAGCGUAUAUUAAAGUUGUUGCAGUUAAAAAGCUCGUAGUUGGAUUUCAAAGUGGAGGUGAGGCAACUCAUUGAAGCUUAUCAAUCCGAAAGGAUUGUUACUGUGAGAAAAUUAGAGUGUUUCAAGCAGGCUAUUGCAGGAAUACAUUAGCAUGGAAUAACGAAUGUGUCUAGAAUCUUGGUUAAUUCUGGAUUUCAAUUAAUAGGGACAGUUGGGGGCAUUAGUAUUUAAUUGUCAGAGGUGAAAUUCUUGGAUUUGUUAAAGACUAACGUAUGCGAAAGCAUUUGCCAAGGAUGUUUUCA